rnacentral:rRNA from 1 species
AUUGAACGCUGGCGGCAUGCCUUACACAUGCAAGUCGAACGGCAGCACGGGAGCAAUCCUGGUGGCGAGUGGCGAACGGGUGAGUAAUAUAUCGGAACGUGCCCAGUCGUGGGGGAUAACGUAGCGAAAGCUACGCUAAUACCGCAUACGAUCUACGGAUGAAAGCGGGGGAUCGCAAGACCUCGCGCGAUUGGAGCGGCCGAUAUCAGAUUAGGUAGUUGGUGAGGUAAAGGCUCACCAAGCCGACGAUCUGUAGCUGGUCUGAGAGGACGACCAGCCACACUGGGACUGAGACACGGCCCAGACUCCUACGGAGGCAGCAGUGGGGAAUUUUUGGGACAAUGGGCGCAAGCCUGAUCCAGCAAUGCCGCGUGCAGGAUGAAGG